rnacentral:rRNA from 1 species
UACGGAGGGAACUAGCGUUGUUCGGAAUUACUGGGCGUAAAGAGCGCGUAGGCGGUUUAUUAAGUUGGGAGUGAAAUCCCAGGGCUCAACCCUGGAACUGCUCUCAAAACUGGUAGACUAGAGUGUGAUAGGGGGUGAUGGAAUUCCUAGUGUAGAGGUGAAAUUCUUAGAUAUUAGGAGGAACAUCGGUGGCGAAGGCGAUCACCUGGAUCAUUACUGACGCUGAGGCGCGAAAGCGUGGGGAGCAAAC